GACGAACGCUGGCGGCGUGCCUAAUACAUGCAAGUAGAACGCUGAAGAGAGGAGCUUACUCUUCUUGGAUGAGUUGCGAACGGGUGAGUAACGCGUAGGUAACCUGCCUUGUAGCGGGGGAUAACUAUUGGAAACGAUAGCUAAUACCGCAUAACAAUGGAUGACACAUGUCAUUUAUUUGAAAGGGGCAAUUGCUCCACUACAAGAUGGACCUGCGUUGUAUUAGCUAGUAGGUGAGGUAAUGGCUCACCUAGGCGACGAUACAUAGCCGACCUGAGAGGGUGAUUGGCCACACUGGGACUGAGACACGGCCCAGACUCCUACGGGAGGCAGCAGUAGGGAAUCUGCGGCAAUGGGGGGAACCCUGACCGAGCAACGCCGCGUGAGUGAAGAAGGUUUUCGGAUCGUAAAGCUCUGUUGUAAGUCAAGAACGGGUGUGAGAGUGGAAAGUUCACACUGUGACGGUAGCUUACCAGAAAGGGACGGCUAACUACGUG
rnacentral:rRNA from 1 species